AGCUCCAAUAGCGUAUAUUAAAGUUGUUGUGGUUAAAAAGCUCGUAGUUGGAUCUCAACAGACUUGGAUCGGUUUACUUUGUGUAAUACUGAUCCAAAGCUGUGCUUUUGUCGGAGGUUUAGGAGUGCUCUUAACCGAGUGUCUCUGAGUGCCGACAGGUUUACUUUGAAAAAAUUAGGGUGCUUAAAGCGGGCUGUUAUGCUCGAAUAUUUGUGCAUGGAAUAAUAGAAUAGGAUGUUGAUCUUAUUUUGUUGGUUUUAGAGACUUGACAUAAUGAUUAAUAGGGACAGUCGGGGGCAUUUGUAUUCAAUCGACAGAGGUGAAAUUCUUGGACCGUUUGAAGUCAAACUACUGCGUAAGCAUUUGCCACGAAUGUUUUCC
rnacentral:rRNA from 1 species